GAUGACGACGACGGCAGGAGGGCACCGUCCUUUCUACUGGCGCACCUAGCUGGCGGCCCUGUCCUGCUCGAGGAGGCGGGCUGCCUAGCUCAAGCACGGCCACGACGGCCCACCUCGGCAGGUAGGUACCGCUUAUGUACUGGAGCCUUGAUCUUAAUUUUUCUUCAUUGAUGUCCUUGGAGAAGAUGGCCAUUGGAGUGUAGGGGUGGAACAACCUUGUCUUGCUCAAGGAGGAGGACCACCCGAUCUCGACGACGGCACGGCAACAGCCUUGUCUCCCCCACCAAUGCCCCUCGGCCUCCUCUAAUGCUGCUGUGGAGUCUUAGAAUGGGAAUGUUAUGUACAUAAAAAAUAUUCUAUGGUCUGUGUUUGCAAAUCCAUGGUUGUUGAAUCAUGUCUG